rnacentral:lncRNA from 1 species
UGUGAGCCACUGUACUCAUUCCUAUCUGUGGUUUUAAUAUCAGGGAAAUACUAUCUUCAUAAAAUGAAUUGGAAAGUGUUCCCUCCUCUUCUAUUUUCUGAAAGAGAAUGUAGAGAGAUGGUGUGAAUUCCUCUUUAAACAUUUGGUAGAAUUCUUCAGUGAAACCAUCUGGAUCUGGAGACUUCUUUUUUGGGAGUUUUAAAAUUGCAAAUUCGAUUUCCUUAACAGUUGUAGGCAUACUCAAAUUAUCUAGUUCACAUUGGGUGAGUUGUAGUCAUUUGUAUUUUUCAAGGAAUCGGUCCUUUUUAACUAAGUUGUCAAAUGAAUGUGUGUUCUCACUAGCUUUAAAAAAUUCUCUUCCCUCCAUUAGUUUCUCUCACAUUGAAAUGAGAUGCUGAUUCCUCCACAUGCCUUCCCUCCCUCCAGAUCAAUGACAAAACGCAUUCUCCUGUGCCCUAAUCCAGGACAGCAUUCUUGACAGGCAGAGCCCAGGAUGGGGCAGUCCCGAUGUAAACCCACAGUUUCGAGGAACCAGUUGGCCUUGGACCUCUCUGAAGAGCUCUGGAACCAGAAGGGGCUGGCGGUCCUCUAAGUCACCUUAGCCUACCUGGAGAGACCUCCGAGGCGGGAGAUGCAUAAUCAAAUAUAUAAGUAAAAAUUGACAUUUCCUUUGAGAACUACUUGGACAGUGACCUGAACAUCUCAAGAAAAACCUUGGUGGAAUUGCAUGAACCUGAUUUGGGUCAAAAUUAAGCACCACGCUGAAAAUCAUGCCUUUGUGAAAUGACAAAUUGAAAGUGUUCAGAAAUUGCAUUUGAACUAGUUGAGAUCCUGAUACAGCAGCCAGAAGUGACUAAGGCGACAGUCUUCAGGACACAGAGAAGCUGCUCCUUGUGAUGAAAGCCACUCUUCAAUGAGCUUUGUGCAGGCUGGUGAUCCACGUGGUCCUACCCCCCCUCCACCUGCCCCACCGUGUGUCUCUGUGGCAAACAACUCACAAGUGCAACAGUGGCCUGGCAGACUGAAAACACACUGACCUACAGGCCACUGCUAUUGGUAAGGUAAGAGGCUAUUUUAAAUGGCAAUUGGAAUCUCAAAGAGUGGAAAGCUUUUGUUAAAAAUCCACCCUCAGGCACAGGAAGCAAGAUCUAGUAGCAGAACUUAUUGGCCAGAAAAGGGAAGGCCACACAGGUAGUGAGAACCUAAUAAUGCCUGUAAAAUUUCAGUGAGUAAAUUGCCAGGACAAGAUGCAGUAUGAGGGAUUGGAAAGGUUUCACUCUCAGGGAAUACAAUAUCAAUCAAUGUAUUGAUGGGAUGUCGCAUGAUGCUGAAGAGGUUCAUGCAAUAAACUGAAAAGCAGUAUCUUCUCUGUCUAGGUUGAUGUGUCAACAGAUUUUGCCAAUACACGUCUUAGUAUUUGUAAGGCUUAUAAAUGA